AGAGCGAACGCUGGCGGCAGGCUUAACACAUGCAAGUCGAGCGGGCGUAGCAAUACGUCAGCGGCAGACGGGUGAGUAACGCGUGGGAACGUACCUUUUGGUUCGGAACAACACAGGGAAACUUGUGCUAAUACCGGAUAAGCCCUUACGGGGAAAGAUUUAUCGCCAAAAGAUCGGCCCGCGUCUGAUUAGCUAGUUGGUGAGGUAACGGCUCACCAAGGCGACGAUCAGUAGCUGGUCUGAGAGGAUGAUCAGCCACAUUGGGACUGAGACACGGCCCAAACUCCUACGGGAGGCAGCAGUGGGGAAUAUUGGACAAUGGGCGCAAGCCUGAUCCAGCCAUGCCGCGUGAGUGAUGAAGGCCCUAGGUUGUAAAGCUCUUUUGUGCGGGAAGAUAAUGACGGUACCGCAAGAAUAAGCCCCGGCUAACUUCGCGCCAGCAGCCGC
rnacentral:rRNA from 1 species